rnacentral:lncRNA from 1 species
CAGGCAUGAGCCACCUGCUUUUAACUUGUUCAGCUACAAAGGCAUGUCUGUGAAUGCACAACCAUAAUGACUCAUCAUGGGCCCAGAGCUAUAACAAUGAUAAGGUACCAAGCAUCUUACACCAUGUGCGUGUUGAUGAGAAUCAACAUCCUUGCCUGUUCUUGUGAUUUUGUGGCAGAGUAUAGCUUCUUGGGGGCAAGUAUGUAUUCUACACCACUAGGAGCAAGCUUCUUUAUCAUACACUUCUGGGCUUCUCUGGGGAAGCCAAACUCUAAAGGCCUUUUCUGAGGAGUGUCGCAAAUGCUGCCUGCAGUACGAGGCACAUUGCCAGUUCCUGACUGCAUUAGCAGGUUCCAGCUGCCAGGACGCCUCUGAGUGUGUACCUUGUGACAGAAAGGUACUUCUCAGCUGUAGUAAAGGAUGCUCUCAAGGGUACUCUGCAAAGCUUCUGACUGCGAGGCACUUCUCAGUAAAAAGCUUUGUUUUUCAGACCUUUUUAUUUUGUGGGUUUGGUCUUUUCUGUUUUACCUUCUCGUUGCUGUAAUUCUGAUGGAUGAAAGGUACAUUUUGCAGAACUGAACUUCCUGCCUGAAAGGAGCCUUUACAUGGGGAUUAGCCAUCAGUAGGCAUCCGGUCUUAGAGGGUCCUAUGAGUGCUCCAUUGGGCCCGUCGGCCACUUCCCUGGAUCCCCACAGGAACUCAUUCAGAACGAGUCACAUGCUGCUUUGUACCUAGAUGCUUCCUUGUGUACAUCUUGUUUCCAAAAGAAGUAGCCAGCUCUUCGUGGACAGGAACUGUGUCUUACUUUUUUGCCAUCCCUCACCUCAGGCAGCACUGCCAAGAGCAUUCACAGUGACUGUGGAACUCCGUUGAUUGAAUGUUGGCUUGAGUAAGUUCCUGAUGUAGGGGCUGUAGCGGUUGGAAUCAAGCUUCUGCAAUACUCAAGUAGUCCUACUGAAUUACAGUACUGUCAGACCCCCUCUGCACAACCCUGAAGUGGGUCAGAACUCCACACUGUGCCAUAAAGAGGAAAGCUGUCAACAGGGAGGUCUAAGGAAACACCUCCUUAGGUGGAAGGCAGCAAUGGCAUGAGAGCCACCCUCCGGGCCAAAGGUGCAGCCUGACAUUCUCUGCAGAAUUACACAAUAAGGAAACCGAGGCCCGGAACAAUGAAGGAAGCUGAGAGCACACAGGCCGUGGGUGCCCAGGCCUCUCUGAGAAACACUCAGA